UCCAAACAAAUGUAGGAAUAUGCUGAAGUUUGAGAAUAAAAUACAGCAAAAUAACCCAAAACAGGUGCUCUGAAUAUACUGAAUUAUGUUUUAUGAUUAUUGAUAAUUGAUGUGUAGAUCUCAUUGUACUUACACUGCACAAAACACUACCCAUCACCAAAUAUGUCAUUAGAGAAGACUAGAAAAACAAUUUAUUUUCUUCUGAAUGACCACAAAGGAACACAAUUCUAUGUGUACUCUUCAUGCCUGGAAUUUCUGUUCUUCAGCACUGGGACGUAGCUCAAACUACACAGGAGUUUGUGUUUUCUUGGCAUGAAGCAGAAGAUGGAAUGUCAACAGCAGGUUCAUUUAACAGUCUAUUCCUCCUGGAUGGUAUUCUGCAAUGAAAAUACACGAAAAA